AGAACGAACGCUGGCGGCAGGCUUAACACAUGCAAGUCGAGCGCCCCGCAAGGGGAGCGGCAGACGGGUGAGUAACGCGUGGGAAUCUACCCUUCACUACGGAACAACUCCGGGAAACUGGAGCUAAUACCGUAUACGUCCUUCGGGAGAAAGAUUUAUCGGUGAUGGAUGAGCCCGCGUUGGAUUAGCUAGUUGGUGGGGUAACGGCCUACCAAGGCGACGAUCCGUAGCUGAUCUGAGAGGAUGAUCAGCCACACUGGGACUGAGACACGGCCCAGACUCCUACGGGAGGCAGCAGUGGGGAAUCUUGGACAAUGGGCGCAAGCCUGAUCCAGCCAUGCCGCGUGAGUGAAGAAGGCCUUAGGGUGUAAAGCUACUUUACCAGGGACGAUAAUGACGGUACCUGGAAGAAUAACGCCCCGGACAAACUCGUGCCAGCAGCCG
rnacentral:rRNA from 1 species